AAGCAAAUUAUACUUUCAUUUAAAUUAAGCAAGUUGAUCAACAUAAAGAAGGAAAAGUGAUGCUGAAAAGGUAAGUUUUAAUAAAAGGAGAAAGAGAAAGGUAAAUUCAUGUUUAGGUGAACAACGAACAUGAACUUAAACUGAAUUAACUAAUUCUUUAGCAAAAAGUUGAGGAUAUUUUCCUGUUUAUCUUGAGCUCCUUCUUGACCUUUAAGAUCAAACCAACGCCAACAGCAGCAACAACUAACAUCGUUUUAUGGUGUAAAACAAAAAGGAUGAAAGAUAAUUCACCAUUUUUUCCUCUUCUUUCGCCUAAUAAGUUACAUUUGGUAAUCAUUUCUGAUUCACAAUUGACAGGACAAAACAAUCAACAAUCACACAAAAGACAAUUUAAUAAUUUUGGUUAAUCAGUGAAAACAAAAGCGUAAACAAGUGAACAAUGAGACUUGGAGUUAACCAGAAGUAAACAAAUAAACCAGAAAAAAACUGGUUCAUUCGAUUCUUGCUUUUUUCGCAAUUUUAACCAAAUUUUUGCCAUUCAAUUCUGGUUCGUUACCCUGAAUCAAAUGAUUACAUUAAAGGUUUAAAGUAUGGAUAUGAAUCAAAGUGUGAAUCUUAAAUGAUUUCAAGGUAUUCCUCAACCUUGCCGAUUGUAGUUGCCAUUAGACUUGAAAUCAACUCACUUGAACCCAUUUUUUGGUUUCUCCAAAUUUCCUUUAAUUUUCCUUUUCUCCAGAAAAUGAAUUAACUUGAAUAAUCAUUCAUAAUCAAUUGUAAUCGCUCAAGGCAUAAUUGUCUUUGUAACAUGUUGGCAUUGAUUAAACAACAACACACGUUUGAAGAAACGUUAAACUGUUUGCUUGCUCAAUUGAAACAACACUCAAGCUGAAUUCAUAUUCACUCAUUAACCGGUAGAAGUGUACGUUCAAAUAAUCAAUUUCAUUUAUUUAUUUUCAAUUAAUUUUAAGAGGAUAAACUUCCUUUCUCAUUAUCAUCAUCAUCAUGUUAAUCAUGAUAAUCAGUCAUCAUCCUUUUACCCUUCAUUCAAAAUGUUACAAGUUGUGUGAAUCCAGCUUUUAACUGAUUACCGCAUUUGCAAACCCUUUACUCAUUUAAUCGAUUAACCAUUCAUUAUUAACUAUUAACCAUCAAUACUUGAAUAGUUUGUAAAUUUACCAGCAAUCUUUUCACCCGAUUAACAAUUAGUAUUCCUGGUCCUUCAUUGCUUAUUUGGUUUUCAUUUUUUCUGGUCUCCAAAUCUGGGUUCAUCUUUCAUUACAAUCAAGGUUAACUGUCAAUUGACAAUCUAUUAUAUACAUUCACAGUUAGGUAUUUUUAAUCAAGGAAAAGUUAAUUGUUGUACUAAUCAGAAACAAAAAUCAAGUUGAAACAGCAUGAGAUGUAACUAUUGUUUCAUCUAUUAUUAUCAAGACAAGAGGAAGAAAAGAUUCAUAUGUUGAGAGGAAACAAACCAUUGCCAAUUAAAUUGUUUAGAUCAACAAUUUAAAUAAUCAAAAUCAAUACAAUUACAAUGACAGUUGACAAUAAAAUAUAAGAUGAAAUGGGCAACAUUGAGAAUAGGUUAACCCAAAAGGUUAGUCUUGUUGGGUUACAAUGUAAAGACAAGUUGGCUUCUCGAUCAAAGUUGAACUUGCCUUUUUGAUCUGAAAUAUUAAACUGGUUUUGUUUCAUCAAUAAAUUGUUCUUAAAUUAUUCAAUUAAUAAAUACAAUUUUGUUAACAAUUGUUUCUUUAUUGUAAAAUUGUUGUAUUAUUUAGGUUUUUUUUGUUUUGCAUAAUGUUUACAUUUGUUUAAGGUGAUGGAUCAAUUGAUAAUGUAAUGAUUGUUACAUGAAAAUUGAUUUACGCUUUUCUAAUUUGCCUUGCUUCAAUUCAUGUACAAUUAAUUUUAAAAUAUAUGCAGUAUAAUAAUAAUUAAGGUGAUGAUGAAGAGUAAAAAAGAUGGAAUGAUGAUUAUGAAGAAAGAUUAAGCUUGAUGACUUAUAUUAGAGUUGAUUGUAGUUACAUUGGAUUUACAAGUUGAUUGAGCUUUCCGUUGUUUUGAUGAUUGAAGUGAUGAUUUAAAGGAUUGAUUUUUUCUUGAUUUUCAUUGUUUAAGUCUUCUAAAUUACUUGUGAUUGUCAACAGGGAAAUUGAUUAUGAUUUAUUGGCUCACCUACAAUGUUUAGGGUCAAUCUUUGAACAAAAUGAUUGAGAGACAAAAAAUUGGUGAAAAAAAACAAUGAAAUUGACGGUAAUUAGACGAUAUUAAAGACAGGUUGAUUUGAAUGAAGUUGAAAAAAUUAUUGAUUCACAAUCAACAUACUUGAUUGUUUCACAGACAAUUUGAUUAGCUAGCUGACUUUAAGGGAAUGAUAAACUCAAGCUUAAAAAAAGGUUUUGGAGUUAACCCAGUGAAAGUAUUAACAAUCAAUUGCAAUUUUGGGAUUGAUUUGGUUUUUACACAUAAAAAAUUUCUAACCAUCAUGACAUUUAACAUGAUAAUCAGGAUAAUAAUUAGAAUCAUCAA